GUCUACGGCCAUACCACCCUGAAUGCACAUAAUCUAGUCUCAUCUUAGAAGCUAAGCAGGGACAGGCCUGGUUAGUACUUGGAUGGGAAGCAGUAAUUCUACAACUGAAAAUUUUCAGAGGUUGGAUCACCAUAGGUU
rnacentral:rRNA from 1 species